rnacentral:rRNA from 1 species
CCUACGGGAUGCACCAGUGGGGAAUAUUGGACAAUGGGCGAAAGCCUGAUCCAGCAAUGCCGCGUGAGUGAUGAAGGCCUUAGGGUUGUAAGCUCUUUUACCCGGGAUGAUAAUGACAGUACCGGGAGAAUAAGCCCCGGCUACCUCCGUGCCAGCAGCCGCGGUAAUACGGAGGGGGCUAGCGUUGUUCGGAAUUACUGUGCGUAAAGCGCACGUAGGCGGCUUUGUAAGUUAGAGGUGAAAGCCCGGGGCUCAACUCCGGAAUUGCCUUUAAGACUGCAUCGCUAGAAUUGUGGAGAGGUAAGUGGAAUUCCGAGUGUAGAGGUGAAAUUCGUAGAUAUUCGGAGGGACACCAGUGGCGAAGGCGACUUACUGGACACAUAUUGACGCUGAGGUGCGAAAGCGUGGGGGGCAAACAGGAUUAGAUACCCCCGUAGUC